GCCUGGGUGGCUCAGCCGGUUAAGCUUCUGACUUCGACUCAGGUCAUGAUCUCAUAGUUUGUGAGUUCAAGCCCCACACCAGGUU
rnacentral:tRNA from 1 species